GACGAACGCUGGCGGCGUGCUUAACACAUGCAAGUCGAACGGAAAGGCCCCUUUUGUGGUGCUCGAGUGGCGAACGGGUGGGUAACACGUGCGUAACCUGCCCUUGCCUUCGUGAUAACUUCAUGAAACUAGGUCGAAUACCUGAUAGGAAUCCUUUCUUCAUGGUUGGGGUUGGAAAGCUUCGGCGGGUUUGGGUGGACUCGCGGCUUAUCAGCUUGUUGGUGGGGUAGUGGCUUACCAAGGGUUUGACGGGUAGCCGGCCUGAGAGGGCGAACGGCCAAAUUGGGACUGGGAUAAGGCCCAGAAUCCUAAGGGGGGCAGGAGUGGGGAAUAUUGGCAAAUGGGCGGAAGCCUGAUGCCGCAAAGCCGGGGGGGGGAUGACGGGCCUCGGGUUGGAAAACGGUUUCAGCAGGGGAGAAGGCUGUGGUGACGGUACCUGCAGAAGAAGCACCGGCUAACUACGUG
rnacentral:rRNA from 1 species